rnacentral:lncRNA from 1 species
GUUCUUCCGCCAGCGCCCAUCGUGAAGACCACAGUUUCCUGUCGCGUGGAUGUGUUUCCUCUCUGGCCAUUGCCAUCCGCCCAAAUCUACAGACAUCCCGCAUGUUCCCGGGCUCGUCUCCCCAAUACAGGGCACCAAGCAUCCUACCAAGGCGAAUCCAUUGACCAGGAUUUAAGUUGAGACUCCCCCAGGACCCCGGGUGCAGCAUCUGGGUCCCCCUGCCCCGCCCUGCCUUGCGCCGCAGCCGCUUCCGUUGUCCUGCCAGGCUGUAGACUGCGCAGCCCUCCUGGAGACAGAUGGAAGCUCCUUGGGUCGACAGAUUACAGCUUCUGGAACCCCCUACUCCCUUCAACUCCGAGAUGGACACCCACUGUCCAGGGAGAGGAUGCCUGGAAAUAACAGCUGGGAUCUACAGUGGCCAAAGAGUUGUCUCCGUCUUGCUACAUCGACAAACUGGUGCUCCUGAGUGAGGAUUGUGCCCUGGGAUGGGGGAUUCAGUUUCUUCAUUUAUAGUUGGAAGUGGGUGAAGUGCCAGGAGCGACGGUACACUCCAGAGUGCUGUGCCCUGAUGGGCCUUUGAGUGGCCAGUGCAGUGGAUCAUCAGCCCUGUCUCCCAAGAGCUCCAGUCCCUUCUCCGGAGAGGAAGUGGGUCCACUGGCAGCUCAGGAGGCCAUAGCAGAUUGUGGGGCUCUGUGCAGUUGAUGUUAGUUAACCACUGGAUCCACGUGUUCACCGUGGCUUGCGCCCCUGCAUCCGAAAGUGAUCUUGGCUGCCGUGUCCUGGUCAUUGGUAGUGCAGGGAAAGGAUGCGGAAAGACGGGCUCCGAGCUCGGGGCGUCUGGCCUGGAGCUUUCCUACACUUGUGUCUUGCUCUGCAGCCUUACGGAAGUGUGGGUGGCGCUUUCUGGAAGCUGCACAAGUCAGUGCUGGGUCUUCGCAACUUGGUGUUCUGUUUCCAGAAACUUGGGGUGUUUGCAUGUGCUAGGUCAGCACAGAUUUCCAAAGGAUCUCUAGGAUUGUCACGUGUGCUCAACAGUCCUCCUCGGCUUUCCAGAAGAGGCUGGAACAGGGCCCUUGAAGAUGUUUGUGGACAUCAGAGGGCCAAAGACGACACAAAGUGAAACUGGAGACACCGCCCCCCCUUGGCAUCAUGAAACUGCCGAUGUUACUGGCUCAUGCAUGGGAGACACCAGCAUACAAAGUCUUGACACCAACACCUCAGAGGGCUGUGUUCUGUCCCCGUGACCAUCAUCUAGUGCCUGGAAAGACUAGUGACAAGAACUUGUUGCCAACUUCCUAUUACCUCCCUAACAGUUGUGCAAUAAACCCCAUAGGUUAAUUCAGUCUGCCUUUUAAA